rnacentral:rRNA from 1 species
GUUAUUGAGGUUCUAACUUGGUCCAGUAAUCCUGGAUGAGGACAGUGUAUGAUGGGUAGUUUGACUGGGGCGGUCUCCUCCCAAAGAGUAACGGAGGAGCACAAAGGUACCCUCGGUACGGUCGGACAUCGUACCAAGAGUGUAAAGGCAAAAGGGUGCUUGACUGCGAGAGUGACGGCUCGAGCAGGAACGAAAGUUGGUCUUAGUGAUCCGGUGGUUCUGAAUGGAAGGGCCAUCGCUCAACGGAUAAAAGGUACUCCGGGGAUAACAGGCUGAUACCGCCCAAGAGUUCAUAUCGACGGCGGUGUUUGGCACCUCGAUGUCGGCUCAUCACAUCCUGGGGCUGAAGCAGGUCCCAAGGGUAUGGCUGUUCGCCAUUUAAAGUGGUACGCGAGCUGGGUUUAGAACGUCGUGAGACAGUUCGGUCCCUAUCUGCCGUGGGCGUAGGAAAAUUGAGAGGAGCUGCUCCUAGUACGAGAGGACCGGAGUGGACGAACCUCUGGUGCACCGGUUGUCACGCCAGUGGCAUGGCCGGGUAGCUAAGUUCGGACGGGAUAACCGCUGAAAGCAUCUAAGCGGGAAGCCUCCCUCAAGAUGAGUUUUCCCAUGAAGCCCGUUGAAGACUACGACGUUGAUAGGCAAGGUGUGGAAGCGCAGUAAUGCGUGAAGCUAACUUGUACUAAUUGGCUGAUUGUCUUGACCAUAUAAUCUGAG